rnacentral:rRNA from 1 species
GACGAACGCUGGCGGCGUGCUUAACACAUGCAAGUCGAACGGAAAGGCCCUGCUUUUGUGGGGUGCUCGAGUGGCGAACGGGUGAGUAACACGUGAGUAACCUGCCCUUGACUUUGGGAUAACUUCAGGAAACUGGGGCUAAUACCGGAUAGGAGCUCCUGCUGCAUGGUGGGGGUUGGAAAGUUUCGGCGGUUGGGGAUGGACUCGCGGCUUAUCAGCUUGUUGGUGGGGUAGUGGCUUACCAAGGCUUUGACGGGUAGCCGGCCUGAGAGGGUGACCGGCCACAUUGGGACUGAGAUGCGGCACAGCCUCCUACGGGAGGCAGCAGUGGGGAAUAUUGCACAAUGGGCGGAAGCCUGAUGCAGCAACGCCGCGUGCGGGAUGACGGCCUUCGGGUUGUAAACCGCUUUCGCCUGUGACGAAGCGUGAGUGACGGUAAUGGGUAAAGAAGCACCGGCUAACUACGUG